GUAACAAGGUUUCCGUAGGUGAACCUGCGGAAGGAUCAUUACCAUGCAGCAGCAAAUUGCGAGCAGUCAGAAUAAAGGAUGUGGUAAAUCCUGUGACACAAAGUCACUUAAUCUCACGGGACCGGUGGGGAACCCUUGCAUUGCACACCGGCGGGAUAUGGGUCAGAGACGUCCACCCGGUGCCGGGCCGCCGACCGCCUCAAGGCUCUCGGAGGUGGCUUGUCGCUAGCCAGCCCCGGCCGGGCCCGGGAGGCGCGUCCCCAGAUUCUCCAGCUUGUCCUUUCCCCUCCCGGCGUUAACAACUUCAACCCUAUCUGCGUACCUAUCCAUGUUGCUUUCCCGGGAGCAGCGGUCUGACCGCCCGUCGGCUGCCCCUGAGUCUCCCGGGAGAGGUCCCGAUCCAACCACGCUGUCCACCCCGCCUCCGUCUGACGGCCCACGCGCCACCAAAGCGAAACAAGCAACGAAUCGAAAAACUUUCAACAACGGAUCUCUUGGUUCUCGCAUCGAUGAAGAACGCAGCGAAAUGCGAUAAGUAAUGUGAAUUGCAGAAUUCAGUGAAUCAUCGAAUCUUUGAACGCACAUUGCGCCCCCUGGCAUUCCGGGGGGCAUGCCUGUUCGAGCGUCUCAAAGACGCUCUCACAAACACUGUGGUCAUGGCGGCGGUGGCAGGCCCGAGAUGGCAGCCACCCCGCCGGAAUACAUAGGCGGGCGCCUGCCGUGAGCCUGAGCGUAGCAUGAAAAGGACCCGCGGACUCACCGGGUCGUCAGCCCAGCCUUGGCCCCUCACCGGGCGAGAAGACAACGACGCACUCCUCGAAUCAGGUAGGGAUACCCGCUGAACUUAAGCAUAUCAAUAAGCGG
rnacentral:rRNA from 1 species